CACACCAGUUUGGCACCCAGUGCCUCAUCGGAUAAUUCGAAGUAGUAAAUUGACACCCAAUGUCUCAUCGAAUAAAUCUGAAGUAGUAAAUUGACACCCAGUCUCAUCGGUUAAACCGAAGUAAAUUGGCAACCAGUGCCUCAUCGACUCGAAGUUGAAGAAAACCGUGAACUCUUCCAAUCCUAUGGCAUGCUAUCUAUAUCCAACUCAGCCCGAUACAGUUAAUAGGGUUCCAAUUCACUUUCCAAAUAAAACAAAUAUCCAAUAUCAUAUUUGCACAUAUAUAUAUUCAUAAUAUAUAUAUCAAUUCAAUCCAAUUCAAUCAACUUUAAAUCAAUUCAAUAAUCAAAGUGCCAUAUACUCACCUUAAUCACUUACCAUAUACAUUAAUUUAAAAUACAACAAUUAACAACUAGGUUCGGAUUAUAGAAAUACAAAUAAAAAAUUCCGAACUAUUCGAUGUCGACUUUAUCUUUCCCCUUUUUAGUCGAGGAUUUCGGUACGACGUUAGCUACAAAAUUAAAACAAUUAAAAUUCAUAAAUACAACAAAAUUCAAUUCAUAUUGAAUAUUUCAAUUUUUACUCAAUAUUUUCCUAAAUUCCAAUUUAGUCCCUAAACUGAGCCUAACUUUAUUUCUUUACAAUUAAUCCUAUAUUUUCAUACAAAUUUCACUUUUAAGUAAAUUUAACUCCCUAUUUUCACUUAAAUCCCUAAAUUUUAAAUUUUUCAUAAUUUAAUCUCUAUUACUAAAAAUUUACAAUUUAUUCUAUAAUUUAAUCCUUUUUCAUUUCUAACUUUUAAAUCUAUCAAUUUAAUCCCUAAUACUAAAAUUAUUCAACAUUUAAAAACUCAAUCAUUGCUAAAAUUUUAACAUAGGUCGGAUAGUACUUAACACCAAAAUUUAAAAAAUAUAAAAAUUACAAGAAAAAAAAACUAAAUUGACCAACCGAUUGAACUUAGAAACUUUAAAACCCUUUGCGUCUGUUUCUUACUUCUUUCUCUUUUUCUUUUUCUUUCUUUCCUUUCUAUUUUCGUUUUUGGCUUGGCUUUUUUUUGUUUUUAUUCAUUCAUUUACUUAUUUUGUUUUAUUAUACAUUAGUUUGUUAUUAUUAUAAUAUAAUAUAUACACUUAUUAAUUAAGUAAACAUAUUUUAUUAUAAUAUAUAUUAAAUUUAUAAAUAUCUUACCUUAUGCCUCUUCAUUAAAGAACAAUGACAUAAUUGUUUCUUUAGUCUCUUUAAUUUUUCUUUAAUCUAUAAUUCAACUUUUACCCUUUAUACAAUUUAGUUUUUAUAUCUAAUUACUCUUAAUUCAUGCAAAUUCACUUAACCAAAACCUAAUUAACUACACAACUAACUUUGUAAAUAUUUAUAAAAUAUUUGCAAGUCUAAUUUACGGUAACGGAGUCUUGAAAAUACAAUUUCCGACACCCGUGACUAUCGGGUCGUUACACGUGUAAGGUGUGUUUAGAUACUCAUUAUUUGGAAUUUUUUACGGAGAGAUAUUGUAUGUAAUGUGAGGUAUUUGGGGAGAGUGAUUUGUAAUAAUUGGGGUCGGUGUUGGGGUGGCAAUUAAUUUUUUGUGUAAGGUUAGAUUGUGCUUAAGCAAAUAGGUGAUUCAAGCGAUUGUUGAACAAAAUCAUUUACUGAGCGAGGCUCCUAAGUAGGAUUGAUGAAUCUAAACUGUGUUAAUAAAUAUUGUAUUAACAAAUAUUGUGUGUGAAUGCUCUUUUUGUUUGGCUCAUUCUUCACUUUGCAUUUAAUUUGUUCUGUUUGAUUAGAAUGAAACUGUUUUUCAAGUUAAAUUGAAAACUUUUUUAGUGUUUUUUUAAUUUUUAUUAUGGUUUAAAUUUGUAAUUUAUAUAAUAUUUUUAUCAUAUAAAUAGUUAUGUAACGAGAGUUAAUUACUAUGAAGAUUGAAUUUUGAGGCGCUUUAUUUAAUUUUUUAAAAAAAUUUAAUAUUAGACAUUUUACAAUAUUUUUAAUAAUAUUUUUUGUAAUUAUAAUAAUUUCUUUUUAUUUUUUUAGUGAUGUGGUAUGCCACGACAGCGUUGUUAAUAGUUAAUAAUGGUUUCUAUUAAUGGAAAGGUUUAGUUGAUUAUUUUUUUGGUCAAGACUCAAUAGGAUACAUUUUUUAAGGGCUCAAAUGAUUUUUUUUUUCAUUUUUUACUAAGGGUAUUUUGAACCCUUAAGCCUUUUUAGUUUCAAAUAUUAUAUUUUAUUAUUUAUUAUAUUUUAUUUACAAACACACCCAUUUUAUCUAAAAAUGUGGUUUCCAUAUGCAUACGUGUGAUGAAAUUUCUAGUCAAUAUAACACCAUUUUACAUUUAUAUGUUGUAUACACAAAUAACUAUAUUCAUCUCAUAUAAAAAUUAAUUGAUAUAUUUAUUUUUUUGAAAGUGUAUAAUUGAAUUAGAAUCAAAUGCUCAUGUAUACAUUUGAAUCACCAUCAGAGUUUCACAUGAGUAAUUGCACCAUCAAAGUUGAUACAUACACAGAUGGGGUGAAAUUUAUUAAGUUUCAUUCACCGAAGCUACCAAAUUUCAAGUUUGAAAAAUUAGUUGACUUGCGAUGACUUUUUAGAUGAGAUCCAAGAAUUUUGGGGUUGAGAUGUCUUAAUAGAGUUCGAAGAUCUAUUUCUUACGUUUGAAAUGCAUUUUGAAUCACUCGAUUUCGAGUUUGAAAGCUCAAGUUAUGACCAUUUUAGUGAAGACUACGCGAGCAAAAUUUAUGGAUGAGAUUAUUAUGAGAAUUACGAGUUUUUGACUUUUAAUUCGGGUUUAAAUCAUAUUGGAUUCGAUUUUUAGACUUAAUUUUUAUUAUAUAUGAGCCUAAUAUUGCAUUGAUUAGAUUUUUUUAUUUAUUACGAAUUUUGGAUUUUUAAAAACCAAUUUUAAGUUGUUUAGGAGUUUUAUGUUUUUUUAGUCAAACAAGAAAGUUUAGUUUAAAACUACUUCUUGUUUAAAAUAGUUAGAGUUUCAUUAUAUUUAAGAGUUUUAUUUUGAUGUAAUUCACAAGUGUUAGUAAUGCAAAAGAAAAGGCCAAAUCCCACAUUGGUUGGGGAAAUGCUUCUAAAAACAGUUUAAAUAUAGUCUUACUUAUUACUUCUAUUGAGUAAUUGAGACUAAGGCCCAACACAUGCACGCUAUUGCCUGCUCAUUUGUGUCUGUGUCCAUGUUGACACGUGUUUACGACACAUAUCGCAUGUGUUUCUUUUUGGAUAAAAUUUUUAUUUUUAUUUUUACGAAAAUUAUCACUUCAAUUUAUAAACUGCUACAAUUUUAAUUUGAUCAUGUGUUUUUUUAGGGAAAUAGACUCUUUAAAUUUAUCAUUUUUACCCUUUUAAAUUUACCAUUUUGCCCUUCAAAAAAUUAUUAUAAAUACUUGAGUCAUUCUCCUUAUUAAAUACACAACAAUACAGAGAUCACUUUUUUCUCAAAGCCUUUCUUUUCUCAUUUCUGAAAACUUUUUCCAGUCAAUUAUUCCGAUCAAGUUUUCAAUCUUGUUUUCUUAGCCUAUUUUCCUAAAAUUUUUUGAUAAGAGCAAUACUAAUUGGGUUCCACCUUUUUUAUUCGGGUUUACGAAUAUUGAAGUCCUGUGUUAACCUUGGGGGCGAUAUCCACUAUACGAUUACACCUAUCAAGGCAGAUUUGCUUCUAAGGCAGUACUUUUUCCAUGACACAGUAAUCAUUUUUUUUAUUUAUGUUCAGUUUAUUCUUUCCUAUUAGUGCUAACAGUUUGUUUUGCAAUAGUAUCUUUCCAACAGCAAGCCUAUAUAAAGGUCUGUUCAUUGUUCAUUAGAUACAUAAUUAUUUUCAUUAAUAAAAUUUUCAACACCAAGAGUUAGUUUAUUUGUGUAAGAUUUCUUUAUUGUGAUUUUUAGAAGUAGCUUUAUUCUCGAUUUUCUUUAAGGAGUCAUGAGAAUUCAAUCUUCAUCCUUUAUUUGUCAUUGAUUAUUUCUUGAAGGGUUGAUUAAAAUCAUUAAUUGAGUUUGUUGGGGUUUAUAUCUUAAAGGGUUCAAGUGAACACUUAUCUAUCAUAUCCAUCAGUUUACUCGUUCCAUGAGUCUUUUUUUCUCGAGUCAAACAAUUUGUAUACGAUCUUGGUCUAUUUACUUCUUUAUAAAAAAUUAACAUAUCAAAUCUCACAGUGAACCACAAAUUAUGUAUAAUUUUUAUAUUUUUCUUUUUUAUUUUAGUUACAUAUUUUCAUUAGUAAUACUAAAACAUAUAACUAUAUAUUAAAGCUCUCUCGAUUCAUGGGAUAACUUAAUUUAAUAUCGAAGAUAGCUAAUAAUAUUGUGCCAAAUCAUUUGUGUCAUUAAAAUUUUUAAUAAUGGUAAUUAUGGUAUUCUCAAAAAUUAAGAAAAAUAUAUUAAGAGUUAAUUAAGAUAUGUUUGCAAAAACAAUAAAUUAUGUGGAGAAAUGGAGCAGAUUAUUAGUAAAUUUUGGUGGCAAAAAUAGAAAGGCACGAGGGGAAUACAUUGGUGCAGUUAGAGUAAAUUAAGCACGUUAAAGGAGGACGGUGGGAUGGGUUUCAAAAAUGUCUGAAUUUAAUGUGGCCUUUCUCGCAAAACAGGCUGGCAUUUAUUGGAGUAUCCAGAUUCAUUAUUAGCAAAGACUUUAAUGGCUAAAUAUUAUCCAAGCACAUAUUUCAUGCAAGUAGAGUUAGGAAGUUACCUUUUGUAUACCUGGAGGAGUAUUUGGGCAACAAGGAAAGUCUUGCAAGAUGGAAUGACUUGGAGAGUUGGUAAUGGUGAAAGCAUAUCAAUUUGGCAGGAUGCUUAGGUCCCUGGAUUGGAAAAACAAAUAAUUCUGGAGUCAGUCAACGAUAAUAAUGUAAUCAGAGUGGCAGAUUUAAUUGAUUUGAAUUCAAGACAAUGGAAGAAGGAAAUUAUUACCAGACUAUUCAAUAACAAUGAGGUAGAGGCAAUCCUGGGCAUCCCUUUGGCAAAACAAUCGCGCGAAGAUAGAAGAGUUUGAAGUGGUGAACCAACGGGGGAAUACACAGUACGGAGUGGAUACAGAAGUUUAUUGAAGAAAAAUACAAACCCAAAAAUAGCCAACAAUGAAGAUAUAAGCAAAGAAUAUUACAACAACCUUUGGCAGACAGAUUUGCUAAACAAGAUUAAAAUUACAAAUUGGAGAAUAUACAACAACUAUAUUCUUAUGUUUGGAAAUCUAUACUACAAAAGAGUCAAUAAUUCGGCGUUGUGUCCGAAAUGCAGGGAGGGAACAAUGACUUUGGAACAUGCGAUUAGGGACUGUUCUGCAAUAAAGGAAAUCUGGUCAGAACUAGGGUUUGGUAUAUUAGAGGAAGCAUUAAAUGAGAAUUUACAGGCAUGGAUAAGGAAAAACAAAAUGAUGAACUCAACAGAGAAAUGCAACACAAUGCAAUAUGUAUUUCUCAUAACUUUGAAAGCAAACAACAGUGGCUUUAAAUAGCCUUACAAAAAUAGAAAAGCUAAAAAUAAGCUAACGUAUCCCACUAACUCAUGAAACUAAAAAACUGAAAUAAAGACUAAUUAAAAAACAAUAACAAACGAAGAUAUGCUCCUAAUAAUUAGGAACUUAUUCAACAAACAUAAGACUUCUUCAAACCUAACAAAACCCUCCCCUAAACUAAACAUACCAGUUGUAUGUUAGUUUAUAUCACUGUAACUUCGAACGCCAAGUGCUUCUCUGAGUUUUUCGAAUUGAUCGAGCUUCAAGGGUUUAGUUAUAAUAUCAGCUACUUGCUCACCAGUUUCGUAGUACUCCAUGCUAAUUGAUCCAUCAAAUAUAAGAUUUCUUAGAAAGUGAAACCUUACAUCAAUGUGUUUACUUCUUCCAUGAAAGACUAGAUUUUUUGCAAGCUUAAUGGUAGAGGAGUUAUCACAAAGAAUUUUGACUGAUUUACUUUGGGUACCUUUAAUUUGCUUCCAAAUUCGCUGCAUCUAUACACUUUGACAAGCGCAUGAGACAGCAGCUACAUACUCUGCUUUUGUAGUUGACAGAGUAACAACGGGUUGCUUCUUUGAUGCCCAAGCUACUGCUCCUUCACUUAGCAUAAAGACAUAGCCUGAAGUACUCUUUCGAUCACUCAAAUAUCCAGCAUAAUCAAUGUCUAUGUACUCCAUCAGUUCAUGUGUGUAAUUCCUCUUGUAAAGAAUGCCAAAAUCUGUGGUAGCUUGAACAUAUCUCAGAAUUCUUUUAGCUACCAGCAUAUGCGCUUCCAUUGGAUUUGAUAUGAAUCUACUGAUCAGACAUACACUGUACAUCAGAUCAGGUCUUGUGAUUGUCAUGUACAUUAAACUUCCUACGAUUUGCUUGAAUAAGGUUCCAUCAACUUGUGCUCAUUCUUCCUCCUUUGAUAAUUUGCUGCCAGGAAUUAUUGAAUUCCUGACUCCAUUGUAAGCCCCCAUUCUGAAUUUUUCAAGAACUUCAUUGGCAUAUUUAUUUUGGUUGAUGAAUAUCCCAUUAAUGCCUUGAUAUACUUCUAUUCCCAAAAAAUACUUUAUCUCACACAGAUUAGUCAUUUCAAACUCAUUUUUCAUUGAGUUUUUGAAACCUUGCAUAAUUAACAAAUCAUUACUUGUAAAAAUGAGAUCAUCAAUGUAGAGACUUACAAUCAGAAUCUUGUUAUCCUCAGGUUUCUUGAUAAACAAAGUGUGAUCACAACAGCUCUUUUCGAAACCUUCUUUGAUAAAGUAUCCUUCAAUUCUGCUGAACCAUGCUCUCGGAGCUUGUUUUAAGUCGUAGAGAGCCUCCUUCAAUUUGUACACUUUGUCCUCUUCUCCUUUCACUUCACAACCUUGUGGUUGAGCGACGUAUACAUCUUCACUGAGUUCACCAUGUAGAAAGGAACUUUUGACGUCGAGCUGAAAGACUUUCCAACCAUUUCUUGCUACGAGAGCUAAUACCAUUCGAAUAGUAUCCCAUCUUGUUACAGAAGCGAACACCUCAUUAUAGUCUAUCCCCUUCUCUUGAACAUAUUCCUUGACCACCAAUCUCGUCUUGAACUUAUCAAUUUAUCUAUUUUUGUUCAAUUUUUUUCGAUAGACCCACUUAACUCCAAUCACUUUCACACCGGAGGGAGCUUUUACCCACUUCCAUGUAUGAUUUUUCUCUAUUGCUUCAAUUUCAAGAUCCAUCGCCUUCCUUCUAUCUUUUGAUUUUACUACUUGUUCAUAGGAUAAAGGAUCAUCAGUAGAUAAAAAUAACACAAAGUUUUGUACCUCAUCUUCUGAGAGACCUUUUCCACUCGUGCACUCAUCUAGAUAUGCUGGAGCCCUUAUUUCUCAAGUUUGAGGAGCUGCUACUUCAUCAUUGGAGAGAUUUACUGCGUCACUUGAGGUAGAUUUCUCAUCAACUGAAUCUUCGUCGUUUAAAUUUGAUUCAUCUUCAUCAUUUUAAUUGUAUGCUUCUUCAUAGGCUUCUCCCCAAUCUAAUACAUCAUUUAUGGUUUCUUCUUUUGUACUGCUCCAAUCUCAACCUUCAUUUUAUUCAAAAACCACGUCUCUACUGAUGGUGAUUUUCUUUGUCAGUGGAUCAAUCAUUUUAUAACAUUUGGAUUUUUCGCUGUAACUUAUUAGAACUUGCUUUUGGCUUCUUGCAUCUAGCUUUUGUCUUUUUGCCUCGGGUACACAAACAUUUCCAAUGCAUCCAAACACCGAAAGUAUUCAACAUUGGGUUUGAGGUUACUCCAGCAUUCUUCAGGGAUUUUAUUCUUCAAGCAGGUAGUGAGACUUCUGCUUAACACAUGGCACGUCCACUUUACAACAUCUGGCCAGAACAUUUUCGGCAUCUCUUUUUUCUUCAAGCAUGCAUCUCAGCAUGUUGAGAAUGGCACGGUUUUUAUGCUCAGAAAAUCCAUUUUUCUUAAGUGUAUAAGCUAUUGUGAGUUGCCUUUUGAUGCCUUGUGCCUUGCAAAAAUUUGAGAACUCCUCAAAGUUGAAUUCUCCUCUUCUGUCUGUUCUUAAACUCUUUUUGCUAUAUGAUGCAAGUGAAAUGGGGCCACAAAUAUCAAAGUGGAUGAGCUGCAGUUGCUUUGCUGCCCUCCAUUUACUCUUCUUUGGAAUAGUUUCUCUAUGUUGUUUUCCUGCCAUGCAGCUAGUGCAUCUAUUUGUUGGUGUUCUAAUUUUGGGAAGCCCUUGAACCAUCUCCUUGUUAUUCAAUAAUGCCAAAUGUUUGUAACUCAGAUGUCCAUAUUGUUUGUGCCAAAUAUCGCUGGAAUCCUCAUUGUAUGUAUUGAAGUAGGAGGCUGAUGUCAUGAGAAUAUUUGUGGUGACCACAAACAUUCUGUUGGCAGUCAUUGUACUUUCCAUUAUAAGCCCACGAGUUGGAUUGUAUAUCUUGCAAGCUUCAUGUUUGAUCAGAAUAGUGAUGCCUUGAUCUUGUAAUUGACCUAUACUGAGCAAACUAUUGCAUAAAUCAGGUAUAAAAUACACAUCACUUACUGUUUGGACUUUUCUUCCAAAUUCCAGCUUGAUGUCCCAUUUUCUUUUCACCAUCAGUUUAGAGUCGUUCCCAAGUUUUACCGAAUGCUUGAAUCCUUCAUCAUGUCUUAUGAACCAUUCUUUGUUUCUAGACAUGUGAUUUAAACACCCAAAAUUGAGAAACCAUAUUCCUUCCCUUUUGUUUUGCUUUGCAUCUACUUUUGCAAUCAGCAGCAUCUCGUCUUCAUCAUCAAUUUCUACAUAAUGAGCUUUCUUUUCCCAAUUGGGACAUUCAUACUGAUAAUUCCUUAAAUUGUGACACUUGUAGCAUUCUACAGUUGUUUUAUCUAUACUCUGUCUGCCAUGACCUCUUCCUCUUCCUCGACCUCUAGUCCAGCCUCUGCCUCUUCCACCUCGAUUUUCAUUUGUGACCUUCAAGACCUGCCCUUUUUCAAUUGGGCCUGUCAUUCUUUGUUUAUGAAUCAACAGACUGCUCUGAAGUUCAUCUAUUGUUAGAGUCUCAACAUUGUUGGAUUCCUUAAUUGAGCAUACAUCAUAAUUAAAUUUAGGAACUAAGGAUCACAGAAUCUUCCCUGUAAUAUCAGCUUUUUUGACAUUCUCUCCGUAUAGUUUCAUCUUCUUAGCAAUUGAGAGAGUUCUUCCGAAAUAAGCAUUGACAGUUUCUCCUUCCUUCAUUCUCAAUAUUUCAAACUUAGUUUUUAGAGCUUGAAGUUGUGCUCUCUUGACCCUUGUUGAUCCAUUGAAUUUCUACUUCAUUGAAUCCCAUAUCUGUUUGGAUGUAUCAUCAUUGAGAAUGGUAUCCAUGAUUUCUCUACUUAUUGCUUGGUAGAGAUAACACUUCACUUUCCUGUCUUUCAAUUGCUGUUCUUCAAACAGCUUUACCUCUUCUUUAGAUGGUUUUCUCCCUGUUGGAAUUUUAUCUAUUCCAUCUUCUACAAGGCUCUAAAAUUCCUUUACUCUAAGGAAAUUCACCAUCAACUUUGCCCAGUGUUCAUAGUACCCAUCAAAUUUGAGAACAGCAGCUUGCACAAACGCAUCACUGUUGGAACUGUUUUCCGCCAUUCUUCACACUCUUCUCUCGUGUUUCUCUCAAAAGAAAACUCUAUUCUUUUCUUCAAUCAGGCUUCUUAGACCAGGCUCCGACACCAAAUGUAAAAUAAAAUGAUGAACUUAAUACAAAAACGUAACACAAUGCAAUCUGUAUUUCUCAUAACUUUGAAAGCAAACAACAAUGGCUUUAAAUAGCCUUACAAAAACAGAAAUGCUAAAAAAAGGUAACGUAUCCCACUAACUCAGGAAACUAAAAAACUGAAACAAAGACUAAUUUAAAAACAAUAAAAAACUAAGAUAUGCUCCUAAUAGUUAGGAACUUAUUCAACAAACAUAAGACUUCUUCAAACCUAACAAUUUGGAUGGGACGAAAUAGAGUUUGACAUGAAAAAUACAACAAUUAGCCACAAAACAGUACGAUUUAUUAGAAAGUAUAUAGAAGAGUGGUCGUUAGUACAAAAUAACAUACUGAGGCAAAAAAACGACAGCGAAUGAUAGAAACCACUGGACCAUAAUAUUACCAAAAUAAACUUUGAUGGGGCCUAUAAUAAAAAAAAGGAAAAGAUCAGGAACGAGCAUAAUCUGCAGGAACUAAAAAGGUGAAAAUUUGGGCGUCAAAAUGACAAUUAAUGCACGAGUACCUACACCCUUCGCGGGGGAGGCGCUAGCCUGUUUACAAACAGUACAUGUGAGGUUAGAUUUAAGACUCCAAUGAGUAGUCAUCGAAGGAGGUGCACUCAGUAUUAUACGAUGAGUUCAAACAUCAAAAGAGGAUCGAUCAGUGUUAUGUUUAUACAUACAAGAUAUACAAAUACUAAGCAAAGGAUUUGAAGAGUGUCAUUUUUAGAAAAUCUCUAGAUCUGGCAAUGGAGUUGCACAUGAACUUGCAAGAGUAGCAGUGGAGAGUCUAAGAAACAUUGACCUGGAGAAUCGAUUAUCGAGGAAGGCGCUACUGGCACUGAAGGAAGACGAGAGGAACCUGGCAAUGCCUGGAAAAGAAGAAAGACCUGAAAGGCAUGGGUAACAGACGAGGAAAUGAGACACUAGGGAUCAAUCGAAGGAAAUACUCGUUGAAAGAGUGGUUGCUGAAGGGGCAUUGUGAGAAAUAGGGCAUGUGAAAUGACAGAGGAGAGGAACUAGAAAAAGAUACUAAAAAAGGAAGCGGUAAGCAAUGAGAGAGUCUUGGGAACUGAUAGUGGGUAAUCAAAUAUCUGGAAAAUGGUGGAGGCUAUCUCAGG
rnacentral:lncRNA from 1 species